AUUGAACGCUGGCGGCAGGCUUAACACAUGCAAGUCGAGCGAGCGGCGGACGGGUGAGUAAUGUCUGGGAAACUGCCUGAUGGAGGGGGAUAACUACUGGAAACGGUAGCUAAUACCGCAUACCAUCGGAUGUGCCCAGAUGGGAUUAGCUAGUAGGUGGGGUAAAGGCUCACCUAGGCGACGAUCCCUAGCUGGUCUGCGAGGAUGACCAGCAAAACGGGAACUGAGACACGGUCCAGACUCCGACGGGGGGCAGAAGUGGGGAAUAUUGCACAAUGGGGGAAGGCCUGAUGCAGCCAGGCGGCGUGGAUGAAGAAGGCCUGCGGGUUGUAAAGUACGUUCAGCGGGGAGGCGUUACCAGCAGAAGAAGCACCGGCUAACUCCGUGCCAGCACCGCGGUAAUAC
rnacentral:rRNA from 1 species